UUUGAAAAUGCAAGAGUGACC
rnacentral:piRNA from 1 species